rnacentral:rRNA from 1 species
UACGUAGGGUGCAAGCGUUAAUCGGAAUUACUGGGCGUAAAGCGUGCGCAGGCGGCUUUGCAAGACAGAUGUGAAAUCCCCGGGCUCAACCUGGGAACUGCAUUUGUGACUGCAUGGCUUGAGUGCGGCAGAGGGGGAUGGAAUUCCGCGUGUAGCGGUGAAAUGCGUAGAUAUCUGGAGGAACACCGGUGGCGAAGGCGGCAUCCUGGACCGACACUGACGCUGAGGAGCGAAAGCCAGGGGAGCAAACGGG